UGACAUUUAGCUAAAAAAGUAUUUGUUUUGAAAACAUUUGAUAGGGAAACCUAAUUUUAA
rnacentral:tRNA from 1 species